ensembl:lncRNA
CCUAUUCCUGGUACAGUAGAUGCUUCAAGCAUUCCUCCACCCGCCCCCUGCUAGCUCAGCUGCUGAGCCCCACACAGGACCCCGUCCCUGGACUCCCCUUUAUUACCAUAUCAUGAGAUGCGCCCGAGGCGCGGAGCAGUUCAGCGGGCCGCCUGUGUCUUUAAGAGAGAGGGAGAAUAUAAUGAGUAACGGGGAGGAAAUAUAAGGCACGGGGCGAGCGAGAGCGAGAGAGAGAGUGAGGGAGUGUGAAUUUAUCACGGGGAAAAAUGUGCGCUUUAUUCUUGGUUGUGUGCUGAGCAUCCCUGCACCGGCUCACACUACUGAAGAGCACGCCUCUCUCUCUCUCUCUCUCUCUCUCUCACACACACCCAGGCGCUCCUGCUCGACCUCCCUCCCUCCCUCCCUCCCUCACACACACACACACUCACACACGCACGUGCUCGCCGUCACACACGCACAGUGCUGUCAGCAGCGCUGCCGCUGGACCACAGCCAUCUCGCGAAGGAGGUUUCCAGCGGAGGCAAGAGAAAGCCCGGGCGAGAGCGAGACAAAGGGAAGGAGGAGCGAAAUAGGAGCGCUCGCACCGGCACAGGGAAGGAGAAGAGACCCGGCGCUUUGUGAAGAAGAGAAAGCGAGGGACGGGAGGAGGGAGGAGGAGAGAGAGAAGAGAGAAAAAGAGGAGGGCGAACAGGAAUCGCAUCACUUUGAGCUGCAGCGGACCGUGUCGCAGCAUGGGCAAUGCACCAUCCCAAGCAGGCAGUAAAUGUGGUCGUGCACAAGGCGAGGCGCAGACGAUUCCUGGGAAUCUACGGAGGCGAUGAUGGCGCCGUGGUCACAACCUCCUUCUUCGCUCUUUUCCAGUCGUGCACUCGGGAGGAAAUUGCUAAUGCGAACCGAGCGUUGCGAGUCAAAGUCUUCGCGAGCGGUUUGUGCUUCUCCUCCGGGGGGGUUUGCGGCCCAUAUGAGGAGCUUCUCGAUGCUGCAGCGGUAAUCACACUAGUUGGCCCUCAAGGUCGUUAAUGAUGCAAGAGUUUUAAAUAUUACAUCCAUUUAUCAAAUGUCCUUCUUUCCGUGCCACAGUUGUGUGCGGGGCAGAGUUUGAUAUCCGUGCAUACUGAUGGGCUGAAUGAUAUGAGCCAUCCAUGUAAAUGCUUGUUUUAUUAAAGCGAUGGAUGCAUGAAGCCUCGGGGGAACAGUGUUGUUAGUUUCUGAAAGAAUUCUAUGUUUUUCUCCUCCCAGUUCCAAACGUUCGAGAGAAGACGUGGACGAAAAGCGAGUCGGUAGCUGUCGACCUUCUGUUCUCUAAAAGCACACUGUUCGCUCUGUUAAAUGUUAAAGUUAUUAUCCUCACUAUCCAUCUGGAAUAAUAUGAAGACAAACAUGCAGCGCUUGGAUGUAUUACUCACAAACACAAAAAAAUCAUUGUUAUUCAUGUACAGAUCAACACUUCAUGUGUUAUUUCAGAAUUCGAGCAUUUCAGUCCUCUGGUUAUGAAACAAACUCCCCAGAGCGCCUUGGUAGCCAAGUGGUGACGUCGGGCGGUCGGUCGCCACGGUUACAAUAACCACCAUUUGGUUAUGGGGAGGGUAACGAUGAUGGUAAAAAUAACAACGCCGCCUGCUUUGUCCUCGGCCCGUCUACUGACUGCGUCACCUGACAUCCUGCUUUGCUGCAGCCGUUACUACAACAGCAGCUCGGGGGGCUUCGGGGGCUUCGACGCGUCAGUGUCACAUCUGUCGCUUCGGGGCACGGGUCCAAAUUACAGACGUCCCGCACGAAAACAUGUUGGAAGACUAUUUAUGUCACGGCUUUGGAUCCAUUUUAACGUGAAUAACGUAUGUAUAACAAUGGCACAUUCAUUCAUUCGCUUGGAUUACUUGGAGAUAAUGUGGUAAAUAUUCAUAUUUUGGUGUCAAAAGGUGGUUAUUUGACUUCACA